rnacentral:lncRNA from 1 species
AUGUGUGCUCGCUCGAAAGUUGUGCUAAAAUCACUUGUAAUCCACCCCAUCUUGCUGCCCUUUCCAACAACUGAAGACAUUAUUCAACAGCCUGAGGAUAUCCAGAUCCUCACAUCUUCCUUCAGAGCAAUUAAUACAGACCACAACUUGAAGCAGAGGGGUGUGCAUCUCUAUCCAUCAGCUGGCAGAUUGCAUGAGUUCCCAAAUGGCAGCUCCCUGGAAACCCUUUUUGGAGUAAAGAAAGUUGAAGUUCUUUUAGUAGGUAUGCACUCCUAUUCAUGGAAAAUCCUCCAACAAGAGCAUUGGAUUCCAUUAAUAAAGAAAAAGUACCUCUUGACAAUCAAAAGAGAACAUCAACAUCACAUUUUUCAUCUUCCAGCUCUGAGCCUCCAACUAGAGACUGUACCAGAAAUAAAAUGCUUUCUGCCACAGUAGGAUCACCAGCAAGCAUCAAAUGAAAUGAGACUGAAAUGGAGAGGGAGUACUUUUAUUUCUUGCUCUCCUCCGUGAUCGUCAUUGUGCUGCCAUUUCAGAUAUUGAGAUCAUUCAACCCUGACAUGAGCAAAACUUGUCUCUGAGGGCAAUAUGGCAAGUGAAAGAGCAGCUUUUAGACUGGAAUUUCUGAAAACACAUUAUUGCAGGCAAUUGUGAAAAUUCAGCAUCUGUCUUCUCCAAGUAAAAGUCGAACAGCAUUUUCCCUCUUGCUUCCACUGUGUAAGUAUGCAGUCUUCCACCUUUGAAAUGCGAAACGAAAGAGAACCUUGCAGCCUGUUUAAGGAUAUCUGCAUGACCCAGCUACAAGUAGUCAAGGAGCCAGAAGGGAUAAAGCUUUAGAGGUAGUCAAAUCGCCUGCAUCAAACACAGUUCAAUUUGAUUCAAGGUGAUUUGAAGAAGUAAUUUACCCAAAAUGUUCUGUUAGUAUUUGCUCGCAACAUCACACUAGUCUUUAGAUAUUGCGGAUGAUAAUUUAGAUAUUAUGGAUGUAGUAUUGUAGAUGGGGAGACACUGCAAGUCUGGUCCGCUUUAAACAAGGCAAAAGGAGCAGCAACGGAAUGCCUGGAGUGUGACAGACAGCAUCUGUUCCCCUUUGUCUUACUUAUAUGUGUGCAGAGACUUCUCGAUUAUCCUUGCAUUCAGCAGCAAACUUUGGGACAAAAGGAGUGUUGAGAAGAAGUAAACGACCACCCCCAAGGACUAACAAUGGACCGACAGUUGGCCAUUACGGUGCUAGAAGGCUAGAUGAUGGUGUUGGUCGCCAGAUAGGGUUGUGUCUGUUGGGCAGUCAUGGGGCUGGAUAGGAUAAUGAUUUUGGGAACGUAAUGAAUUUGUAAUACAUGUGAAAAUAUAACCUGCUCACGAACGAUCUAAUAACUGGUGGAGCGUUCUUGGAGAGUUACUUCGAUGAUGCCUCAGCGUUACCAAUAAAGAAUACCUUGCUUAACGGUAACA